rnacentral:rRNA from 1 species
UACGUAGGGGGCAAGCGUUGUCCGGAUUUAUUGGGCGUAAAGAGCGUGUAGGCGGCCGUACAGGUCAGCUGUGAAAACUCGAGGCUCAACCUCGAGACGUCGGUUGAAACCGUACGGCUAGAGUCCGGAAGAGGAGAGUGGAAUUCCCGGUGUAGCGGUGAAAUGCGCAGAUAUCGGGAAGAACACCCGUGGCGAAAGCGGCUCUCUGGAACGGUACUGACGCUGAGACGCGAAAGCGUGGGGAGCGAACAGG